UAAAUGACAAUCGAAGUAUUAUGAAUCCACAGUGUGUGCAUUUAGUUCUCGACAGAGAUGAAAAGUAGGUAACAUUUUAUACAGGCACUUUUAGAGCACCCUUUGCGGUCUUCCGUCAACGUGUUUAAAGACCCCAUCAUGUCCAUGCUUGCAGAACCCCGGAGAAAACAGAAGUGGUCUGUUGACCCGCGGAACAGCGCGUGGAGUAAAGACGAGUCCAAGUUCGGCCAGAAGAUGCUGGAGCGAAUGGGCUGGUCCAAGGGAAAGGGCCUGGGGAGAACUGAGCAGGGCUCCACAGAACACAUCAAAGUCAAAGUGAAGAACAACCAGCUGGGGCUGGGAACCACUGCCAGCCACGAGGACAACUGGAUCGCCCAUCAGGAUGACUUUAACCAGCUCCUGGCAGACCUCAACAACUGCCAUGGUCAAAACACUGCCAAUGAAGCCCCAUCAGAGGAGAAACAGCAGGAGAAGUCCUUCAGCCUGGAGGAGAAGUCAAAGACGUCCAGGAAGAGGGUCCACUACAUGAAGUUCACCAAAGGGAAGGACCUGUCCAGCCGCAGCCAGACAGACCUGGCCUGUAUCUUUGGGAAGAGGGGGACGAAGCGCAUAGCCGAGGACCAGGAAGAGGAGAGCAGUGGGCCAGACUCCCAGGGAAUGAACGAGAAGGAGACCAGGGCAGUUACAGCACCAGCUACAAAGGUUACGACCCCUGAACCUGAUGUAGAAGCCAUCACCAAGACAGUCACCAGCAACCUCUCCAUGCAGGAGUACUUUGCCCAGCGGAUGGCUCAGCUGAAAAAGGGUCGUGGCGAGGCUCCCACUGCAACCUCAUCACCAGAGACCAGUGAUACGCAGCAAGUCCCGGCUGAUUUUGUCACUGACCACACAGAGGAACUCACGUCAAAGAAGAAGAAGAAGAAGAGGAGAAAGAGGGAAGAGGAUGGCGUGGUGGUGGUGAAGGAAGAGUGUGUCGUAGCUCCCGUGUCAGAGGGGCGCGAGAAGAAGAGAAAGAGAAAGCGGGCGGAGAAAGAGGUGUUGGCUGAAGACUGCAGCGCCACCACUGGCGUGGAGCAGAACUACCAGGACCGCCAAAUUGUAGACUUAACAACGGAGUGUGAGGUUGUAAAUAAGAAAUGGGGGGAGGAGGUGGUUGUCGUGGAGGAUGAGGUGAUCGCGGUAAAAGAGAAGAAAUCUAAAAAGGACAAGAAGAAGAAAAAGAAGAAGAGAAUAGAUCUACAUUCUUUGUAGAACUAUUUGAACCGUCUUCUCUUGAACGGCAUCUCAGAUGGCACCCUAAUCCCUUUGUAGUGCACUACUCCCAUAUGGCUCUGAUAUAAAGUAGUGCACUAUAUAUUAUUAUAGAGAGAGAAUAGGGUACCGUUUGGGAUGCACUAUAGUCCUUGGGUUUCUGUGUUACAGUACAGUAGUCCUCUGUUCAUACAUGAAAGAACUGGGUCUAUGCACAGAGUGAUUCUCAUCGGGUAGUUUGGACUGAAUAUCUGCUGGAAAGAAUCUAGGUAGUUCUACGUUUCUGGAGCCAUUCAGGAUGAGUUUGGUGCUUUCCCAGAGAUACACUUUUAGAAUGAUCAUUGUGACUCUAUGUUCUCUGGAUGCCCCCUGUAGUCCCCCUGUAGUCUCCCUAAAGUCUCCCUGUAGUCUCUGCUCCCUGUAGUCUCUUCUCGCUAUAGUCUCCCUGUAGUCUCUGCUUCCUGUAGUCUCCCUGUAGUCUCUGCUUCCUGUAGUCUCCCUGUAGUCUCUGCUUCCUGUAGUCUCCCUGUAGUCUCUGCUCCCUGUAAUCUCCCUGUAGUCUCCCUGUGGUCUCCCUGUAGUCUCUGCCCCCUGUAGUCUCCCUGUAUCUCUGCUUCCUGUAGUCUCCCUGUAGUCUCUGCCCCCUGUAGUCUCCCUGUAGUCUCCCUGUAGUCUCUGCCCCCUGUAGUCUCCCUGUAGUCUCCCUGCCCCCUGUAGUCUCCCUCUAGUCUCUGCCCCCUGUAGUCUCCCUGUAGUCUCUGCCCCCUGUAGUCUCCCUGUAGUCUCUGCCCCCUGUAGUCUCCCUGUAGUCUCUGCCCCCUGUAGUCUCCCUGUAGUC